rnacentral:rRNA from 1 species
UACGAAGGGGGCUAGCGUUGCUCGGAAUCACUGGGCGUAAAGGGUGCGUAGGCGGGUCUUUAAGUCAGGGGUGAAAUCCUGGAGCUCAACUCCAGAACUGCCUUUGAUACUGAAGAUCUUGAGUUCGGGAGAGGUGAGUGGAACUGCGAGUGUAGAGGUGAAAUUCGUAGAUAUUCGGAGGAACACCAGUGGCGAAGGCGGCUCACUGGACUGGUAUUGACGCUGAGGUGCGAAAGCGUGGGGAGCAAACAGG